rnacentral:rRNA from 1 species
GGAAUUUUGCGCAAUGGGCGGAAGCCUGACGCAGCAACGCCGCGUGGAGGAAGAAGGCCCUCGGGUCGUAAACUCCUGUCCAUGGGGAAGAUGGUGACGGUACCCUUGGAGGAAGCCCCGGCUAACUCCGUGCCAGCAGCCGCGGUAAUACGGGGGGGGCGAGCGUGGUUCGGAUUUACUGGGCGUAAAGGGCGCGCAGGCGGCGCCGGAAGUCCUGGGUGAAAGCUCCCGGCUCAACUGGGAGAGGGCCUGGGAAACCACGGUGCUGGAGUGCUGGAGAGGGAAGCGGAAUUCCUGGUGUAGCGGUGAAAUGCGUAGAUAUCAGGAGGAACACCGGUGGCGAAGGCGGCCUUCUGGAUCGCAACUGACGCUGAGGCGCGAAAGCUAGGGGAGCAAAC